GACGAACGCUGGCGGCGUGCUUAACACAUGCAAGUCGAACGGAAAGGCCCUGCUUUUGUGGGGUGCUCGAGUGGCGAACGGGUGAGUAACACGUGAGUAACCUGCCCUUGACUUUGGGAUAACUUCAGGAAACUGGGGCUAAUACCGGAUAGGAGCUCCUGCUGCAUGGUGGGGGUUGGAAAGUUUCGGCGGUUGGGGAUGGACUCGCGGCUUAUCAGCUUGUUGGUGGGGUAGUGGCUUACCAAGGCUUUGACGGGUAGCCGGCCUGAGAGGGUGACCGGCCACAUUGGGACUGAGAUACGGCCCAGACUCCUACGGGAGGCAGCAGUGGGGAAUAUUGCACAAUGGGCGGAAGCCUGAUGCAGCAACGCCGCGUGCGGGAUGACGGCCUUCGGGUUGUAAACCGCUUUCGCCUGUGACGAAGCGUGAGUGACGGUAAUGGGUAAAGAAGCACCGGCUAACUACGUGCCAGCAGCCGCGGUGAUACGUAGGGUGCGAGCGUUGUCCGGAUUUAUUGGGCGUAAGGGCUCGUAGGUGGUUGAUCGCGUCGGAAGUGUAAUCUUGGGGCUUAACCCUGAGCGUGCUUUCGAUACGGGUUGACUUGAGGAAGGUAGGGGAGAAUGGAAUUCCUGGUGGAGCGGUGGAAUGCGCAGAUAUCAGGAGGAACACCAGUGGCGAAGGCGGUUCUCUGGGCCUUUCCUGACGCUGAGGAGCGAAAGCGUGGGGAGCGAACAGGCUUAGAUACCCUGGUAGUCCACGCUGUAAACGGUGGGUACUAGGUGUGGGGUCCAUUCCACGGGUUCCGUGCCGUAGCUAACGCUUUAAGUACCCCGCCUGGGGAGUACGGCCGCAAGGCUAAAACUCAAAGGAAUUGACGGGGCCCCGCACAAGCGGCGGAGCAUGCGGAUUAAUUCGAUGCAACGCGUAGAACCUUACCUGGGUUUGACAUGGAUCGGAAGCGCUCAGAGAUGGGUGUGCCUCUUUUGGGGUCGGUUCACAGGUGGUGCAUGGCUGUCGUCAGCUCGUGUCGUGAGAUGUUGGGUUAAGUCCCGCAACGAGCGCAACCCUUGUUCACUGUUGCCAGCACGUUAUGGUGGGGACUCAGUGGAGACCGCCGGGGUCAACUCGGAGGAAGGUGGGGAUGACGUCAAGUCAUCAUGCCCCUUAUGUCCAGGGCUUCACGCGUGCUACAAUGGCUGGUACAGAGAGUGGCGAGCCUGUGAGGGUGAGCGAAUCUCGGAAAGCCGGUCUCAGUUCGGAUUGGGGUCCGCAACUCGACCUCAUGAAGUCGGAGUCGCUAGUAAUCGCAGAUCAGCAACGCUGCGGUGAAUACGUUCCCGGGGCU
rnacentral:rRNA from 1 species